GACGAACGCUGGCGGCGUGCUUAACACAUGCAAGUCGAACGGAAAGGCCCUGCUUUUGUGGGGUGCUCGAGUGGCGAACGGGUGAGUAACACGUGAGUAACCUGCCCUUGACUUUGGGAUAACUUCAGGAAACUGGGGCUAAUACCGGAUAGGAGCUCCUGCUGCAUGGUGGGGGUUGGAAAGUUUCGGCGGUUGGGGAUGGACUCGCGGCUUAUCAGCUUGUUGGUGGGGUAGUGGCUUACCAAGGCUUUGACGGGUAGCCGGCCUGAGAGGGUGACCGGCCACAUGGGGACUGGGAUACGGCCCAGACUCCUACGGGAGGCAGCAGUGGGGAAUAUUGCACAAUGGGCGGAAGCCUGAUGCAGCAACGCCGCGUGCGGGAUGACGGCCUUCGGGUUGUAAACCGCUUUCGCCUGUGACGAAGCGUGAGUGACGGUAAUGGGUAAGAAGCACCGGCUAACUACGUG
rnacentral:rRNA from 1 species